rnacentral:rRNA from 1 species
AUUGAACGCUGGCGGCAUGCUUUACACAUGCAAGUCGAACGGUAACAGGCCUUCGGGUGCUGACGAGUGGCGAACGGGUGAGUAAUGCAUCGGAACGUACCCAGAGGUGGGGGAUAACGCAGCGAAAGCUGUGCUAAUACCGCAUGUGAUCUGAGGUUGAAAGCGGGGGACCGAGCAGCAAUGUUUGGCCUCGCGUCUUUGGAGCGGCCGAUGUCGGAUUAGCUAGUUGGUGGGGUAAAGGCCUACCAAGGCGACGAUCCGUAGCUGGUCUGAGAGGACGACCAGCCACACUGGGACUGAGACACGGCCCAGACUCCUACGGGAGGCAGCAGUGGGGAAUUUUGGACAAUGGGCGCAAGCCUGAUCCAGCAAUGCCGCGUGCGGGAAGAAGGCCUUCGGGUUGUAAACCGCUUUUGGCAGGAACGAAACGGUGUCCGCUAAUACCGGGCGCUAAUGACGGUACCUGCAGAAUAAGCACCGGCUAACUACGUG